rnacentral:pre_miRNA from 1 species
UCUUACAGAUGAGCAAAGAAAGUGGUUUAUUAAAAUGGAAACUGCUCCUGGUGAAGAUACUGUGAA